GACGAACGCUGGCGGCGUGCUUAACACAUGCAAGUCGAACGGUAAGCCUCUUCUUUUGUGGUGUGUUCGAGUCGCGUACGUGUCACUAACACGUCAUUCACCCGCCUUUGGCUUUACUAUAACUUCUUGAAACUGGUACUAAUUCUUCAUCGCUUCUCCCGCUGCUUGUUGUGGGUUGGAUUUUUUCGUCGGUUGGGGAUGGACUCGCGGCUUAUCAGCUUGUUGGUGGGGUAGUGGCUUACCAAGGCCGUGACGGGUAGCCGGCCUGAGAGGGUGACCGGCCACAUUGGGACUGAGAUACGGCCCAGACUCCUACGGGAGGCAGCAGUGGGGAAUAUUGCACAAUGGGCGGAAGCCUGAUGCAGCAACGCCGCGUGCGGGAUGACGGCCUUCGGGUUGUAAACCGCUUUCGCCUGUGACGAAGCGUGAGUGACGGUAAUGGGUAAAGAAGCACCGGCUAACUACGUG
rnacentral:rRNA from 1 species